UACGUAGGGGGCUAGCGUUAUCCGGAAUUACUGGGCGUAAAGGGUGCGUAGGUGGUUUCUUAAGUCAGAGGUGAAAGGCUACGGCACAACCGUAGUAAGCCUUUGAAACUGGGAAACUUGAGUGCAGGAGAGGAGAGUGGAAUUCCUAGUGUAGCGGUGAAAUGCGUAGAUAUUAGGAGGAACACCAGUUGCGAAGGCGGCUCUCUGGACUGUAACUGACACUGAGGCACGAAAGCGUGGGGAGCAAACAGG
rnacentral:rRNA from 1 species